rnacentral:rRNA from 1 species
AUUGAACGCUGGCGGCAGGCCUAACACAUGCAAGUCGAGCGGAUGAAGGGAGCUUGCUCCUGGAUUCAGCGGCGGACGGGUGAGUAAUGCCUAGGAAUCUGCCUGGUAGUGGGGGAUAACGUCCGGAAACGGGCGCUAAUACCGCAUACGUCCUGAGGGAGAAAGUGGGGGAUCUUCGGACCUCACGCUAUCAGAUGGGCCUAGGUCGGAUUAGCUAGUUGGUGGGGUAAAGGCCUACCAAGGCGACGAUCCGUAACUGGUCUGAGAGGAUGAUCAGUCACACUGGAACUGAGACACGGUCCAGACUCCUACGGGAGGCAGCAGUGGGGAAUAUUGGACAAUGGGCGAAAGCCUGAUCCAGCCAUGCCGCGUGUGUGAAGAAGGUCUUCGGAUUGUAAAGCACUUUAAGUUGGGAGGAGGGGCAGUAAGUUAAUACCUUGCUGUUUUGACGUUACCAACAGAAUAAGCACCGGCUAACUUCGUG